AAAUUGAAGAGUUUGAUCAUGGCUCAGAUUGAACGCUGGCGGCAGGCCUAACACAUGCAAGUCGAGCGGUAGCACAGAGAGCUUGCUCUCGGGUGACGAGCGGCGGACGGGUGAGUAAUGUCUGGGAAACUGCCUGAUGGAGGGGAUAACUACUGGAAACGGUAGCUAAUACCGCAUAACGUCGCAAGACCAAAGUGGGGACCUUCGGGCCUCAUGCCAUCAGAUGUGCCCAGAUGGGAUUAGCUAGUAGGUGGGGUAACGGCUCACCUAGGCGACGAUCCCUAGCUGGUCUGAGAGGAUGACCAGCCACACUGGAACUGAGACACGGUCCAGACUCCUACGGGAGGCAGCAGUGGGGAAUAUUGCACAAUGGGCGCAAGCCUGAUGCAGCCAUGCCGCGUGUGUGAAGAAGGCCUUCGGGUUGUAAAGCACUUUCAGCGGGGAGGAAGGCGAUAAGGUUAAUAACCUUGUCGAUUGACGUUACCCGCAGAAGAAGCACCGGCUAACUCCGUGCCAGCAGCCGCGGUAAUACGGAGGGUGCAAGCGUUAAUCGGAAUUACUGGGCGUAAAGCGCACGCAGGCGGUCUGUCAAGUCGGAUGUGAAAUCCCCGGGCUCAACCUGGGAACUGCAUUCGAAACUGGCAGGCUAGAGUCUUGUAGAGGGGGUAGAAUUCCAGGUGUAGCGGUGAAAUGCGUAGAGAUCUGGAGGAAUACCGGUGGCGAAGGCGGCCCUGGACAAAGACUGACGCUCAGGUGCGAAAGCGUGGGGAGCAAACAGGAUUAGAUACCCUGGUAGUCCACGCCGUAAACGAUGUCGAUUUGGAGGUUGUGCCCUUGAGGCGUGGCUUCCGGAGCUAACGCGUUAAAUCGACCGCCUGGGGAGUACGGCCGCAAGGUUAAAACUCAAAUGAAUUGACGGGGCCCGCACAAGCGGUGGAGCAUGUGGUUUAAUUCGAUGCAACGCGAAGAACCUUACCUGGUCUUGACAUCCACAGAACUUUCCAGAGAUGGAUUGGUGCCUUCGGGAACUGUGAGACAGGUGCUGCAUGGCUGUCGUCAGCUCGUGUUGUGAAAUGUUGGGUUAAGUCCCGCAACGAGCGCAACCCUUAUCCUUUGUUGCCAGCGGUCCGGCCGGGAACUCAAAGGAGACUGCCAGUGAUAAACUGGAGGAAGGUGGGGAUGACGUCAAGUCAUCAUGGCCCUUACGACCAGGGCUACACACGUGCUACAAUGGCAUAUACAAAGAGAAGCGACCUCGCGAGAGCAAGCGGACCUCAUAAAGUAUGUCGUAGUCCGGAUUGAGUCUGCAACUCGACUCCAUGAAGUCGGAAUCGCUAGUAAUCGUAGAUCAGAAUGCUACGGUGAAUACGUUCCCGGGCCUUGUACACACCGCCCGUCACACCAUGGGAGUGGGUUGCAAAAGAAGUAGGUAGCUUAACCUUCGGGAGGGCGCUUACCACUUUGUGAUUCAUGACUGGGGUGAAGUCGUAACAAGGUAACCGUAGGGGAACCUGCGGUUGGAUCACCUCCUUA
rnacentral:rRNA from 1 species